rnacentral:lncRNA from 1 species
UUGAAAUCUGAGCCUGUUCUGUGAUGCCGCUAGAGUUGUCAAUCUCGUGAGAUUAGAAAAAUGGGUUUCUGAUACAACUCCUUCCAAUUGGUUACACCCCAAAUCCAGAGUUUCCAAACUUUUCAGUUGUCCAAAACAUUGAGGAAAAGUACCAUUUAAUUGAUUUUCUGAAACAUCAAAGAACUUCAAAGAUGAUAACUCCCCUAUGGACAAUGGAAUGGGACCAGAAAUAUUGUUUCCAGCAAGCGACAAGUGAGCUAGGUUUUUAAAGUGCCCAAGUUGAUCAAUUAAAUGGCCAAAAAGAUGGUUAUGUGCCAUAUCCAAUGACUCUAAGCAAUCCAAACAACAUCUAGACAGACUCAGAAGUAUUUCUGAUACGUCUUGAUCAAUUUCAUUGCUCGAAAGAUUAAGGAAUUGAAGAUGAUUUAAACUAAACAAAGAGUUGGGUGUGGAUGAAUUGAGUGAGUUCCCACUAAGAUCAAGAACUUCAAGAAAUGAGAUGUUCCUAAAGUAAUCCGGAAUUGGGCCUUCCAAAGAAUUGCUACUAAGAUCAAUGGACAGAAGACCUUGAAGACCAAAUAUGGACGUAGGUACUGAAGAAAAGCUGUUCUCAGAAAGAUCAAGAACAACAAGUGAUUUUGUAGAAUUGACAUUGAUCGGGGAUGGAUCAUCUUCCAAACUGCAAGCUGACAAGUGCAACUCUAACAAUGAAGGGUGUUGGAAUGUUACCAGUAGCCAAUCAGUUGCUUUACGAAGAUCCGCAUAACUCAAAUCAAGGUACUGCAAGAAAGAAAGUCCAGAAACCCAUUGAAGACUUUUUGGUUUGAGAUAAUUACCUCCAAGAUCAAGAUACUGCAACUUUGAGAGAUUCCCAAGGUUAUGAGGAAUUCCUCCCUGGAAUUGUGCAUGAGAGAGGUUAAGAUAUGUUAAACUCCCCAGCCUACCCAAAAAUUUCGGGAUGUUGCUACGAAAAUUGUUAUUGCUCAAGUCCAGGGAACUGAGAUGCUUCAACUCCAGCAAUGAAGAAUUUAUUUUCCCUCUUAGCGAGGAAUUGUUCUUUGAUCGAUGGUAAGCUUCCCAUUCAGUAACUGGUGCAUCAAAAUGGGGCACUGAAAGAGGAGCAGCCAAGUGCAGUUGGUUGAUAUGGCCUGUUGAGUUAUGGCACACGACACCGAGCCAUUUACAGCAAUCCCCACCUUCGACCCAAGAAGCAAACCUGUUUGAAGGGUCAACGAGAUCAUUCUUGAACUUCAGAAGGGCAUUUCUCUCACUUUCAAUGCAAAGCACAUUGGAAUUGGCAUCACAAAAGCUAAAACAGAUAGCUACAAUGGCAAGAAGAAAUGGGAAUAAGGUAAUUGCAACACUUUCCAUGGUUGCGAUGGUACCAACCAUUGCUUGCAACUCCAAAUAUAUAGAGUAAGCUUAGCCAAAACAAAAAUAUUGUGCACAUAAAUGAAGCACAAAGAAGUUUCUUCCAAAUUUCCACAAAAUGUAUUUAAUUGAUAAUAGUCUAUCAGAAAUUUCCAGUAAUUUAACAUUAUUUUAUUUUACAUCUCACAUCAAUACAUAAUUUAACAAAAUUAUAGUCAGUAAUUGCUUUGAAAGUUGUACAGCAAUGGAAGAGAUCGAUGGGUUUGACUUUGGAGAUAGGAAGGAAAUUUCUUUUUUGACCCAAGCAAAAAAUAAAUGGAAUUUAUGUUCAAUUGCUAUAUAAUUAUAUAAUACACGUGUUGAUAAAUAAUUGGAGAGGCACAAUAAGAGACAAAAGGAUUGAGGAAUUUGCUGACUUUAGGGCUCUUACUUACUAUCCUUUUAUUAAUAAAAUUUUAUUUUGGCUUAGAAAAAAAUAGGAUCGAAAGUUUGUAAAUAUACAUUUUCACACACUUGAAUAUAUAGAAAUAUCGAAAAAUAUGUAAAAAAUAAAAAUUAAUAAGAGUUAUAAAAUUUAUUAAAUUUUAAUAAAAUAAUAUAAAAACAUUUAAAAUUAGAAAAAAGUUAUAAAAAGCAUAAAAAUUAUAAAAAAUUGUAAAAAUUAUAAAAAUUAUAAAAUAUAUAGAAAUAUAGAAAAAAAUUAUAAAUUUUCAUAAAUUCAAUAAGAAAAUUAUGAAAAAAAUGUAAAGAAAUAUAAAAUUCAUUAAAAAAUUAUUGUACCACAAGAAACAUUUUAUAAUUUUUCUAUAACUUUUUAUUAUUUUUUAUUUUUUUAUCAUUUUUCGUCAUAUGUCACGUUGUGUUGCUAUACUGAUGGCUUUAAUUGAAAAAAAUCGGGGAUCAUUAACUUUAAUGGUCAACAGUUAAAACUAAUGGUUAAAGGACCUUUUUUAUGAUUUUUAUAAAAUUUUACAAUUUCUUUUAUGAUUUUUAUAUUUUUUUUUUCUAAUUUUUAAUAAAUUUAUGGUUUCUAGUUACUGUUAAAGUUAAUUGUUUCUAGUCUUGCUUCCUUGCAUAACCUCGAUUUGAGUUAUGCGGAUCUUCGUAAAGCAAUUGACUGGCUACAGGUAACAUUCAAACAUCCUUCAUUUUUAGAGUUGCACUUGUCAGCUUGCCGUUUGGAAGAUGAUCCACCCCCUAUCAGUGUUAAUUCUACAAAAUCACUAGUUGUUCUUGAUCUUUCUAGGAACCAAUUAUCUUCAUUACGCAAGUCGAUAUUUUGCCUCCAUGGUCUUGUGUCCAUUGUUCUUGAAUUGGUAGGCCCAAUUCUUAUUUUAGAAAGUACAUCCUAGAACUCCUCUAUUUUUCUGACUUGGAAUUGUAUUUUUACUAGAUUUUGGGCUGCGUCUUGCUGUGGCUUUUUCUAAACAUAUUUGAAACAGAAACAUAUAAAUAUGAAUGGUGGUUGAAAUUGAAAGAAAUUUAUGCAAUGAUAAGUGCAAAAGUAAGUACUUAAGUAGAAUAAAUUAGGAUUUAUUUAUUUAUGACACUCAUAGCAUAUCAUACAUUAACCCUGAAUGGAUGAUGAACUGCAUAUGCGUGAAUUAUAUACUUCGAUGUAAGUAAAAUCUUGAAUUUUAAUAGAUAAGCAACUAAAAGUUGAUGAGUUGGGUAUACAACUUUUGCAUGAUGUAACAUCAUUCCACAAUAGUAGAUUUUAUAGCCCAAAAAUGAUAUCCUCUCAUCGACACUACAUGAUAGAUGAAAAGUAACAUGGUCACGAGUCAUUUGCCUUAGUAACAAAUUAAAUGCAUUAAUUACUAUUUGUUAGUAAUUGUCUUUUCAUGAAAGAAGAUGAAAUAAUUACAAUGAGAUAAAAUAUGAUCAUAUUAGAGGAAUGAAUUUAUACUAAAAAGAUUAAGCAUAUCCUACGAGGGUAAAAUACUUAUAACUAGGUUAUUAGACCAUACUUAACGAGUAGCUUUCGUAAUGAUAUAAUAAUGAAUAACUCAAUCAUGAUAUUUUAGUGAAAUACUUUAUGACUAAAUAAUAUUGUAAUUAAUAGGCGAAGUGCUGGAAGAUCAAGUUGAAGCUCUUGAGAUUAGAGUUGACAAUCAGUCAACUGUUGCCAUAGCAAAAAAUCCAGUACUUCAUGGCAAAACCAAGCAUUUUAAGAUUAAAUUUCAUUUUGUUAGAGAGGUUGAACAAUCAAAUUAAGGAAGUUAAUUUGAUUCAUUGCAGCUCAAAAAAUCAGCUCUGAUAUUUUAACUAAGUCUCUCGGUGAUACAAGAUUUGAAAACUUAAGAAAAAGUAUUGGUGUUUGUUGCAUACAGUCCAAGGAGGAGUGUUGAACUUUGGCCUGCAAUGCAACAGCAGAGAAGCAUUGAAGCUCAACCAGUACAGCAGCAACAUUUUGUACAUAUGUAACUAGCUUUAUUUCUUUUGUAAUUUGUCUUUAAAGUUAGUAAGAUUAGUUGCUGAUUUGAAUGAUGUUCAAUAUGAUGUAAUAGCUGAUAUGUCAGCUAGAUUUUGUGUGUAGUUUAAGCUAUGUUUUAGUCAAGUAAUUAGUGGAAGCAGGUAACUGCCUUGUAACAUAUAUGUUUCAACUUAAUAAAAAUACGUGUGAUCAGUUUUUUAGUCGUCUUCUUGUUCAAAUUUCUUUUCAUCCGUUUCUUUGCUUUUUUUCUCCUUUAUUUUUCUGUUAAUACACCAACAAAGAUCAAUGGACACAAGACCCUGAAGACCAAAUAUCGACAUAGGUACUGAAGAAAAGUUGUUCUCAGAGAGACCAAGAACAACCCGUGAUUUUGUAGAAUUGACACCCAUCGGGGAUGGAUCAUCUUCCAAACUGCAAGCUGACAAUUGCAACUCUAACAAUGAAGGAUGUUUGAAUGCUACCUGUAGCCAAUCAGUGGCUUUACGAAGAUCCGCAUAACUCAAAUCAAGGUAAUGCAAGGAAGAAAGUCUAGAAAUCUAUUCAAGACUUGUAGCUUCGAUAUCCUACCAGUUAUUACUUCGAAGAUCAAGAUACUGCAACUUUGAAAGAUUCCCCAGGUUAUGAGGAAUUGCUCCCUGGAAUUGCUCUCGAGAGAGGUUAAGAUAUGUUAAACUUCCCAACAAACCGAAAAAUUUUGGGAUCUGUAUGCUGCUGAAAUUGUUAUUGCUGAAGUCCAGGGAACCGAGAUGCUUCAACUCCAGCAGUGAAGGAUUUAUUUUGCCUCGUAGUUUUGACCGCUCGUAAGCUUCCCAUUCAGCUGGUGGUGCAUCAAAAUCAGGGGCUGAAAGAGCAGCAGCAGCCAAGUGCAGUUGGUUAACGUGGCCUGUUGAGUUAUGGCAGACGACACCGAUCCAUUUACAGAAAUCUCCACCUUCAACCCAUGAAGAUAGCUUGUUUGAAGGAUCAAUGAGAUCAUUCUUCAACUUCAAAAGACCUUCUCCCUCACUUUUAAUGCAAAGCACGUUGGAGUUGGCAUGACAAAAGCUAAAACAGAUGGCUGCAACAACAAAAAGAAAUGGGAAUAAGGAAAUUGAAACAGGAGUUGUCAUAGUUGCAAUUGCUUAGUACCGACCAUUGCUAUCAACUCCGAAUAUAUAGAUCAGUAAGCUUUAGCUAAAACAAGAAAUGCAUUUAAGUGAUAAUAGUCUAUCGGAAGUUUCCUUUCACUGGAAGUAAGGCGAAACAGAAAAAUAUUGUCCAUCGGGCACAUGGAACUUUCUUCCAAGGUCCAAAGUUUCCAAAGUUGAAUUUUCUACACGAAGCUUUUAUAGUCUUUUGAAUUUCUUGUUAUACAACUCAGAUUCGAAGUUAAGCUAUUCCCAAAGAAGGUAAACACCCUACCAAUAAACUACCGCUUGAGAUUCAAUCUGUUAAUUAUUUCUUUGCAUUAAAAUUUUGGCCAGCUCAUGUUUUAACAAUAUAUAUUUAAAUCUAUUUAUUAAAAUGUAAUUAAGCUAUUUAACAUAAAUUUUGCAGGUUUGUUAAAGCAAUGGUGGCUUACCUGCGCCGCUUCUUUUCUUUGGUUCAUUUGGUUGGCUCGCAACGAGCUCGUGUUCAAUAAGAAGAGAUUAUCGAUUGAUGAAAUUAUGUUUCUUGCUAAUCUUCACUCUUUUUAUUGGGUAAAAACAUCCAAGGAAGGGUGUGUUGUGAUUGAAUCCCAAUGGUGGCCGAAUCCAAGAUGUGUUGUGAUUGAAUCCCAAUGGUGGUCGAAUCCAAGAUUGUGUGUGCCGUGUUCGAAGGGGUUGGGACCUAGAUUGGGGAUUGUAUGGCAUGCUCCUCCUUGUGGCGUUAUCAAGUUUACCGUCGAUGGAGCAGCGCGUGGAAAAUCGGGGCCUGCUUGUUGUGGAGGGGUUCUAUACGUGAUCACAGUGGUAAGAUUUUAGUAAUUUUUUCAGGGCUUUUGUGUAUUUUGGAGUCGAAAGAAGCUGAAUUGAGGCCAAUUAUAUUGGCUCUUGAAAAUGCACAAAAAACUCAUUGUGGAAUCAGAUUCUAAGGUGGUGAUUUUGUGGUGUACAAGUACUAAAAGAGACCAUGCAAAUAUUGAGAUUGUUUUAAAUUGAUAGAAAAAUUUUGUACGAGUUUGAAUGUAAUUGUUUUUUGCAUGUUUUUAGGGAGGCUAAUAGUUGAGCGAAUGCGCUAGUUAAAGGAGGUGUCGAUAGAUAAUCAAUUGUUCCGUGUGUUUGCACUUACUAGUGUUAAUAAAAUUGAUUUUGCUAAUCAAAAAAGAGAAAGAGAGAAAGUAGGAUUCGAGAGAAAAACAAUAUAUCUAAGCUUAAAAAUGAGCCAAGGAGAAUUUUUCGCAAACAUUCUUUCUUGGUUGGUAGCUACAUUACUGGAGCUAAUUCAAAGGCAUUAAAGGUGCUAAAUCAAAAGGAAGUAUAUGUUGUGACAAGGAAGAAAAAGGGAUAAAGAUAGCCUUCCUUAUGCGUAGGUCUGAGGCAUUAGCUAUCUUUUCUUCAACCCCAAACUUGUUGAAGGUGUGGGAUCGUUGUUCCACCUGUAGUUCCUUCCCUUUCUUCGCCAAUUCCUCCUCCUUCCGGUCUAGAGUUUCUUGGGCUAAAUCUCGCUCAGUUGUGUACUUUUCAGCCUGAUCGCAUAGGUAAUCCAAUAUAUAGAUAGCAUGGUACCGACCAUUGCUAGCAACUGGGAAUAUAUAAAGUUAGCCGAAACAAGAAAAUAUUGUUCACAUACAUUGGACCCAUAUUUCCAGAAAAGAAAAAGGCAUUUAAUUGAUAGGCUGAUGGAAAUUUCGUUUCAAGACAAGUUUCUAAUUAAUUGCAUUUAAAAUUUGGGGCCACAUAUUUUGACUAUAUACACCUUACCCUGUUUAGUAUUUAUGAAAAGAACAAAAAACAUAAAACCAUCAAAGGAAAAAACUCAUAUUAACAAUUAAAUAUAUAAAAUCACAGAUGUAAUAUGAAUUUCAAUUGAAGAAAUAAUCUCCAUUUUCAUUUUAAACUUUUCCAACAAAAAUCGAGCUUUCAAACAGGGGUGAUGGCAGAUCAAUUUUUUAGGGGUACCAGAUGAAAUUUUAAUUUUUUAUAGUCUAUAUCUUUAUAAUUUUUAAAGAAUUAAAUAGAAUUUUUAUAAUUUUAAGGGGGCCAAAGUAUAGUUUUACAUUUACUAAUUUAAAUUUUUUUAAAAAAUUUAAAGGCUUAAAUAGAAAUUUUACAUUUUAGGGGGGUCGGGGCCACUGCCAGCCCCCCCUAGAUUCGCCAUUGCUUCCGAAGAAGAAGAGAAAUAAAGUUGAGAGCCAAUUUGGAAAGGAAAAAGAUUUAAUAGAAAAUUUUUAAUAUGAUUUUUUAAAUUUAAAAAGUAUAAGGACUUAUUUCCUAAAUAUACAAAUUUAGAACAUUUUAACCUACAAAUUUUAACAUUAUACUUUGACCUAAAAACUAAUCAAUCCAAUGUAAAACAUGAAUAGAAAACCAUACUACUAAUAAAGUAGUCUUCUAAUACAGCCAAUCAUUUUCUGUUUUCUCUUUAUAAUUUUAUUUUUAAAAAUAAAUAAUUGUAAAAAAUGACUUACAAAUUCUUCAAAGUAGAGUGUUGUAAUAAAGCCAACAAUUUACUCUUAUUUUUUAUUUUUAGAGUUAAGAUUAAAGUUUACUUUAAUGGAAUCGGAUUCAAAUGAAGACUUAGUACAGGAACCAAGGUGAAGGGUUUGAUGGAAGUUAAAUUAUUGGAUCAAAACAGAUGGUUUGACCUGAAGUUUUUUUGGGAAUUUCAGUGAAUAGUGAAAGAUUCAAGCUUUCACAACAAAGAAAAAUAUAACAGCUCUGGGUUCUUAUUAGCUUAUCCUUCUAACAGGAUGACAAGUUAAAAGGGUAGUCCAAAGCUACCCUAUAAAAUAUAUCUUCGUUAGGUAAGUGACAGAACGUUGGUAUAGAAUAUAAUAAACAUUCAUCAUUUAGGAUAUAGGAUCUAUUUAAAAUUUAAGAAUAUUAUAGUAUAUUUCAAUUUUAUUAUUUUUAAAUUUUGUAAAAUUAGGUUAACAAGUGCCCAAGGUUGUCACCGCUGUAUAAGGGACAUGAACCUCUUUCAGAGCAUGGUGCAUAAGGUGAAUACCAGACUGAUGCAAUAUCCAUAUUUCAUAAAUAAUUCCAAGAAUUAAUUCAAAACAAGACCUCUAUGGUUUAAGAAUAAAUUCAAAUUAACUAAGUCAUUCGUUGCAUAUUGGGGUAGUCCAAAAUCAAAGUGAUAUGGGGUAACAUAAAUCUAAGAUAAUGAAUAGAUGAGGGAAAAAAUUGUUUUGGAUUAAUUAUAGAGAGUUCCCUAAGUUUUCAUCAGAAGUCAAAAGAAAGUGUCAUGUGUCAUGUGUCAUUAUUCAAUUGGCUAAUAUGUCACAUAAACAAUCCAUUAGUGGAUUAAUGAAAUUUUUAACGGUAAUGACUAAUUCGAACAAUUAUUUUAAUUAGAGUGACUAAAUUGAGAAAAAAAUUUAAAGUGAUCAAAGUAGGACAAACCCUAUUUUAGAAUGACCUUAGGUGUAGUUUACCUUAAUAAUUUUAUGUAUGUAUAAAAUUACUAAUUUUGUUUUGAGAGAAAAGAAAUUCAUUUAUGAGAAAGUAACAAAAUAAAAGCGAACACAAAGAGGAGAGAGACUACUAAGCCCGAGCCAAUAGGCUCACCCCAUACACCCAAACCUAUUGUCCGCAAUCCUCAUUCAUAUCAACAUAAGACAUAAUUUCAACAUUCUUCAAAAUAGAUACAAGCGGAAAAGCAUCCCAUUACGUGUGGGUUGCAUAUAACAAAGACGCUUAGACAAGUGAGUGGACUGCCUUAUUAGCACAUUGAUGAGUCCAAAAAAAAAAAAAGACAGACGCUAAAACUAAUCUUUCAACACUAGAUGAUCAUGUAGCAGCACACCUAGCUUAUAUGCAUCAAUUAUACAUGUUUUUUUUUCCGUUAAACUACAUACCCAUAGUAGCCCAAAACACAUACAGCUUACCACAGAUUUGGUCCAGCUUUUGAUAGUAUGCAAUCCUCCAAGACCUAAUAAAAAACAAGGGAGCCACUACACUCCAAAAUCCCAAUACAAAGCCAAAAACAAUGCUGACAUAAAGCCAAUUCACUUUACGUCCUUUAUUUCCAACAUCAGUUGGAAUAUUUUUUGAGGUGCAGUUCUUAGUGAGAGGAGGUCCGCAAAGAUGAUUGCCCACAUAAGACAAGUUUUCAAAACUUUGAAGCUGAGUGCUUGUUGGGAUAUGUCCUGUCAAGUUGUUGUAGGACACAUUGAAGUGAUUUAAGAAAUUCAAAUUGGAGAAACUUGGAGGGAUUUCACCAUUUAGUCGAUUCAUGGACAAAUCAAGAGAUUCCAUUAACUCCAUAUUGCCAAUGUUGUCUGGUAUAUUUCCUGUUAGGAGAUUCCCUGAAAAAUUUAAAGAUAAUAGUCCAACGAGACUACCAAUUUCUUUGGGGAUCUCUCCUCUAAGACGAUUAGCUGAAAGGUCCAAGCUAGUAACAAGUCCUAGUGUGCUACCAUAUUCACCCUCUCGUCCUUUCAACACCAACAAUGCUUUCAAAUAAAAUGAGUAAUCAAUGAAAUACGGUGUAGAAAGUUCAUUAUUGGUUUCGUUUUUUGUGGCCAUUUCACUUAAAUUACUGAAACAUUUUGGAAUAACUCCUGAAAUGUUGUUGUGGCCAAAGUCCAAGUUUUGAAGAAAUUGAAGAUCACAAAUUUUGCGAGGAAUAUAACCAUCAAAGUUGUUUGAUCGAAGGCUUAGAACCACAAGGUUCGAGAGCUUAUCACCAAUCCAUGUUGGUACACUUCCACUGAAAUGAUUUUCACUAAGAUCAAGCAUAACUAAACUCCAAGAAUUUCUCAACGUGGAGGGUAAUUCUCCAAACAUGCUAUUGUUUCGAAGGUUUAACAUACAAGGAUUUGUAUAUCCCAAAGUAGGUGGGAUUUUUCCUGUCAAAUUGUUGUUUCCUAAAUUUAAAUAAGCUAAAUUUUCCCAAUGAUUCCAACAAUCUGGAAUUUCUCCAAUGAGUAGAUUUAUAUCGAUGUAAAGAGCUACCAUCUCCUUUAAUGAUGGAUUACAAAUUAAUUCAGAAAGGGAUCCUGAAAAUGAAUUAUUUGACAAAAAUAAAUAUCUUAAAGUUGAGAGUACUCUUGGCAAUGGACCUGUAAAGCGGUUGGAACUCAAGUCAAUAGAGUUUGUUACAUUCAAAUAUGAAAUCCCUCCAGUAAGUUGAUUAUAGGAAAGAUUUAAAUAUUCAAAUUGAGUGGGAAGAUUCACAAACCAAGUGGGCAUGACGUCUGAAAUUCCUACAUGGGAGAUAUCCAAAGAAGACAAUUCUUUUUGGAAUUUUAACCACAGGGGAAACUUUGAGCCAAGAUGCCAGUGACCCAAUUCAAUAAUUUGACAUUGAAAUGGGGGAAUCCAACUUGAGUUUGGUUCAAAUCUAAGCCUAUUGUGUGACGCCUUUAGAGUUGUCAAUCUCGUGAGUUCAGAAAAAUGGGUUUCUAUAACAACUCCUUCCAAUAGAUUAUACCCAAAAUCUAGAGUUUCCAAACUUUCCAAUUGUCCAAAACAUAGAGGAAAAGUACCAUUUAAUUGAUUUUCUGAAAGAUCAAAGUAUUUCAAAGAUGAUAACUCCCCUAUCGAUGAUGGAAUGGGACCAGAAAUGUUGUUUUGAGCAAGGGACAAGUAAGAUAGAUUUUUAAAUUGUCCAAGUUGAUAAGUUAAAUGACCAGAAAGUUGGUUAUCUGCCAUAUUUAAUGACUAUAAGGAACCCAAACAACAUCUAGACAAACUCUGUAGGAUUUCUGAUAUGUCUUGCUGAAUUUUAUUACUAGAAAGAUGAAGAAAUCGAAGAUGGUUUAAACAAAACAAGGAGUUGGGUAUGGAUGAAUUGAGUGAGUUCUGAUGAAGAUCAAGAACUUCAAGAAACGAGAUGUUCCCAAAGUAAUCAGGAAUUCGUCCAUCCAAAGAAUUGAAUCUAAGAUCAAUGGACACAAGACCAUGAAGACUAAAUAUUGACUUAGGUACUGAAGAUAAGCUGUUCCAAGAAAGAUCAAGAACAGCCAGUGAUUUUGAAGAAUUAACACUGAUCAAAUGUGGAUCAUCUUCCAAAAUGCAAGCUGACAAGUGCAACUCUAGCAGAGAAGGAUGUUUAAAUGUUACCUGUAGCCAAUCAGUUGCUUUAGAGAGAUUCGCGUAGCUCAAAUCAAGGUACUGCAAGGAAGAAAGUCCAGAAACCCAUUGAAGACUUUCUGAUAUGAGAUCAUUACCUCGAAGAUCAAGAUACUGCAACUUUGAAAGAUUCCCCAGGUUAUGAGGAAUUGCUCCCUGAAAUUGUGCUCGAGAGAGGUUAAGAUAUGUUAAACUCUCCAGCAAACCGAAUAAUUUCGGGAUAUGUAUGCUGCUAAAAUUAUUAUUGCUCAAGUCCAGGGUACUGAGAUGGUUCAACUCCAGCAGUGAAGGAUUUAUUUUGCCUCCUAGGGCUGACUGCUCGUAAGGUGAAAGAGGAGCAGCCAAGUGCAGUUGGUGGACGUGGCCCGUUAAGUUAAGGCAGACGACACCAAUCCCCUCCUUCAACCCAAGAAGAUAACCUGUUUGAAGGAUCAAUAAGAUGAUUCUUGAAUUUCAAAAGAGCUUCUCUCUCACUUGGAACGCAAAGUAGGUUGGAAUUGGCAUGACAAAUGGUAAAAAAGAUAGCGGGAACGAGAAGAAGAAAAGGGAAAAAGGAAAUUGGAAGAGCAGUAGUCAUGGUUGCAAUUGCCAUUGCUCACAACUCCAAAUAUAUACUAAGAUUAGCUAAAACACAAAAAUACAUGAAGCGCAAGGAAGUUUCUUCCAACAAAAUGCAUUUAAUUGAUAAUAGUCUGUCGGAAAUUUGCUAUCAAGGGAAAUUUCUAAUUAAUUGCAUUUAAUUGUCCAUAAAAUGUAAUAUGAAUUCUAUUAUUAAAUUAAAGAAAUGUAUGCUAUCAAGGAAGUUUUUUACAAUACCCUAAAAGUCUAUGAAGAAAGUCCCACUCCCACUUUCUUUAAGACUUUUUAGGUCUUAAAAGCUAAAGGAUUAAAAAAAAAAUAGUUUCCAAGUUUCGUGUUGAUUAUUUAUUUAUAUCAAAUUAUAAAGUAUAAUUUUUGAAGAAGGUUAAAAUAUGCUUUUAAGUUACUAUACACUUUUAUAUAUUUAGACUUUAAUUUCGUAUUUUUAAUUUUAAGAAUUUAUUCCAUAUAUUUUAAUUUUAAAAUUUAGGUGCAAUAGUUAUUAACAUUAAAAUUAUUCUAUUAAAUAUUCACUUGGGAGUCCUAUAACAAUAAAAUUAAUAUUAAAAAUUCUAAUUAAUUUUUUUCAUAAAAACACUUAUUCAAACUCAACUUAGUUUAUGGAAUAAAUCUCACUCCCAUGGUUUACUUGCUACUUAAAAAAAAUUGAUACAUCAAACUAGCUCUCGAAGCAUUUUUCAUUUAAGAAAAAUCUACGUUAAACUUGAUAACGCCACAAGGGAAGCGUGUCGUACAAUUCAAAGGUUAUCUGGUUGACACUUAUCCAUUACUUUCAUUUAUAUCCUUAACAAAAUAAUGGCAUAGGAUGUUUGUUCAAAGGGUUAGUAAUUAAGUUCGUCUCUAAAUUAUAGUUCACUUUUAGAAAUUUUUUGAAAAUAAUUCCAAAAAAUCUAUAAAUUCAUUAUUUAUUUGAUAAAAUUUUAAUAUUUUUAAAAAUAUAAUUAUAGAAAAAUUUAAAAUUAAAAAAAAAACUCAAAAAUUACCCAAUUCAACGAGCACCCAUUGGAAAAUUUACAUUAUGUUUUAUAUUAUAUUAGUAUCUUCAAACCAAUUAUAUGUUACAAAAUUAUAAUUAAAAAUAUUUUUUAUAAAAUUAAAAAGUGAGAAUAUUUUUAGUAUGAUUAUAGGUGUCUUUAUUCAUUUUAAAACUAGAGUGUAACAUCCCGAAAUAAGGCCUAGGAGUUUGGGCCAACAAAUCCUUAUUUUCUAUUAAGGGCUAAGAUCGAUUGGUUAACAAUUAGGGAUUGAUUUCUGAAAAGGGUAAAAGUAGGAGUACUUGAAUAGUUAUUUGUCCAAAGAGUUGAGGAAACAAUUUCCUUCCUUAAAUGAAAUAGAGUCAUGCAUGUAAGACUUCCUCUGUCAUGAGGAGACCCUUAGGUUCUAAACUACCCUAGUUACAUAUGAAUUAAACACUGCCAACAAAAGUUUUAAACCUAUAUGCAUACCAAAAUCCUACCAUUAGCCAAACCUCCAUUGAAUUGUUUCUCUAUGUUUUCUGUCAAGUUUCUGCAAAUAAAAAACCAAGCCCUUUUUUCUUAAAGGUUCAAGGUAAGACUCUGUUUCUCUAUUGGAUUAGACAUUUAUAAGUAAUUUUAGAACUUUUAAGAAAGCUUGCAACAAAAGAACUAGGUUCACCAAAUGAUUAGCAUGUGCGAACCUAAGCUUGCUUGUGUUUAUAAAUGAGUUUUAAUGUGCUUUGACUAUUAGUGACUUGUGAAUAUUUGUGAAGUUGCAAACUUGACAGAGCCGUCUACAAGCAAAGACAUGGGAAAGGCAAAGCUUGUUUAAAGCUUUCGACAAAUUGCUAAGUGUUCAGGGAUUCCCACUUGUAUGUGCGGACCAUAGUGUUAAUCAGGAGCUUAGGGUCUUAACCUAAGUUUUGAGAGUAAGUUUUCUUUAAAACUCUGUUUUAUUAUUGUGUUUGAAUAUGUGCUUUUAAGAAUAGUGAUGUGCGAGCUCUAUGCUGCAAGUUGGUUAUGAAUAGCAUUUUGUGAGCUCUUUAUGAAUUGUGAGCUCUAUGUUUAAGUAAAUGUUUUGAUAUUAUAGUUUUUGUAACCGUUUGAUAUAAUGGCAUGUCAUAGAAUUGUGAGUACUCACCUCUGUGUUUUUUGAUUUGGGGGAGAGGCAUUGGGACAAGUUAGGAGAAAUAAAGGAAUGACAAGCUAAGCUCCAUUCGUUGAGAUAUACUGGUGUGAUGGAAAGUGUUAGCUUAACACUACAUUUAUCAGAUAUGUCAAAAUCUUUUAGUCAAAGAGGGGAGUCAUAAAGAGAUUCACUUAUCCAAUAGAAAAAAAUAAGUGAAUGAGAUAGUAUUGUUUUUCAAAAUAUUAUGUUUUACUAACUUAUACUAAGUGACAGAGUGUAUCUGCGAACCAAACUUCGUGUAAGUAUGGAGAACCCAGUUCAUAGAGCAGAAACCUUGAUAAAACUCUUGUUUAACUUAUGUUUUUGUGCGUGCUUUGUGGUUUUUCUGUUCAUUGACUAAGUUGUCCCAGUACGACCUGAACUGAACUGGCAGCAACUGAACCUACUUGGGGUGUCGGUGGCAAUGGUUCUUCGAUGGUUGAGUAAUGAAAGAAUUAUACUCCUACUAGGACUCUACCAGAGAAUUUAAUUUUAGAUUAACUAUUCCAGGAAUAAUAUUAUUUUAAUAUAUUUAAUAUUAAAUUAAAUUUAAUACUUAUUUUAAUAGUAUUUUAUUAAUUUAUUAUUAAAAUAAUUAUCUAAUAUUAAAUUAAAUUAAAUGUUUAUCUUGUAGAUAAAUAUUCUAUUAACUUAAUAAGAUCUAAUAUUAAGGUGAUUAAGUUUAAUCAUAGUUGAACUCUCUAAACUUUUUCACUCUCUAAACUUUUUCUAUAUAAAGAGAGCAUUAGGUUAUCAUUUUUUACACACUUAAAUUUAAGAGAAAUUUGUAGAGAGAAAUUUUCUGAAGAAAUUAUUUUAGAAAAUUUCUAGAAAUAUUUUUCUUAUUUACAACACGGUCCAAAAGUUUUCUAAUUCAAAGUAAUGUUUGUGAAAAGUUUUCUAAUUCAAAGUGAGCCCACACUCGAUAGACGUGAGCUUGAGGAUAACGGAGAAGACUACUCAAUUAAAGUGUUCAUCCUAGACGAAUAAAAAAAGGUACAAUUUGAUUAAGUAUUUAUUAGUUUAGAUAUAACAACCAAGUUCUUGUUUUAGAAAAAAAUUAAAAAACUCUGAUUUUAUCCUAAAUUUAUUUUCUGCUACGUUUUUCAAACCCGGUUUUCCAACAUUGUAGGUGUCCCUUAAUGGUCCAAGGACAUGUCUUUUUCACCAAUCUGAUGGAACUACCCUUUUAUGGUUUCAGCGUAAUCCUUGGAAUGGACUGGUUAAUUGAUCAUAAAUCCAAGAUAGACUUUGAAUCGAAACGAGUCACUUUACGGUAAGGUGAUGGGAUGAAAAUUACUGUGGUUGGAGAGUGAGCCCAAGUUUUUUCUAACAUGGUCUCGACAAUUAGAACUGAGAAGAUGAUGGGAAAAUGUUGUAAAGCCUACUUAGUGUACGUACUAAAUUCAAACUGUAAGAAACUAAGUGUACAUGAUAUUCACACUGUUGUCGAUUUUCUUGAUAUGUUUCCUGAUGAGCUACCUAUUAUACCACCAGAUCGCGAAGUAGAAUUCAACAUUGAGCUUCAUCUUAGAAUUGUGCUAGUGUCAAUUGCGACAUAUCACAUGGAACCAAAAGAUCUUAAGGAGUUAAAGCUCCAAUUACAAGAGCUGCUUGACAGAGGCUUCAUUUGACCUAAUGUUUCUCCUUAGGGCUCGCCAGUCCUAUUUGUAAAAAAGAAAGAUGGUUCACUAAGUCUAUUUAUAGACUACAGAUAGCUUAACAAAAUAACCAUAAAAACAAGUACCCACUGCCUCGAAUCGACGAUCUGUUGACCAACUUCGAAAAGCUACAAUGUUCUCAAAAAUUGAUUUAAGAUCAGGAUACUACCAACUUAAAGUGAAGGAGUUCGGCAUUGAAAAGACAAUGUGUAGGAUUCGAUAUAGGCAUUAUGAGUUCUUGGUUAUGCCCUUUGAUCUCACAAAUGCACCAGUGGCAUUCAUGGACUUGAUGGUUCCAUGAAUUUUUGGAUCAAUUCAUAGUGAUUUUCAUAGAUGAACUUCUAUAGUACUCACAAACCAAAGGAGAGCAUGACAUCCAUCUGCAAGCUGUGUUGUAAGUACUACGGGAAAAACAACUAUAUGAUAAGCUAAGUAAGUGUGAGUUUUGGUUAUGCAAAGUAUCGUUCUUAGGACAUGUGUUCUUAGCAAAAGGAAUUCAUGUAGACCCAAGGAAGAUCGACACAAUUGUAGAGUGGAAGACACCAAAGAGCAUUAUUGAGGUUUGAAGUUUCUUAAGAUUAACUGGAUACUAUCGAUGGCUUGUUGAAGAGUGUGUCAUCCCCUAUACUUUGAUUUUAAUCUUGGUGGUAGGUGCGGUAAGCAUCUCUACCAUCUCACUACUUUCCAGAUUAGGCAUAUUGCCCAAAGAAUAAGGCUCAGCUCGAAACCCUCUACGAUGUCCACCAUGCCCUCGUGUACCAUGACCUCACAUACCACGUGUGCUCAUUUAACUUAUCUAAAGUUCAAAAAUCUUAAAUUUAGCUUAGAUUAUUUUUAAAUCCCAAGUCUAAAGUUUAGUAGAAGCACUUAUCUUAAAGCAAAAAUUAUUUUAUUCUAUAGUCUUUAAAGGUUAGCAAUUUUACUAAAGUAACUAUAGUAAGAGUAAUUAUAGUAAAAAAUUUCUUACUUGGAUUGGCAUUGGAGUCUCAAAUUCUUUUUACGAACUCAAACAUCAAAAUUAAUCCAAAUUUAAAUUUAUUGUUGUUAAAAAUAAUUUUCAUAAAAUAUUACCCAAAAAUAACAGCCUGAGUUUAGAACUUGGCUCUAAUACCACCAAGUAUAACACCCCAAACCCGUCAUAGUCGUUAUGGCGAAAUCUUGAAGGUUACAUUAAUGAGUUGAAACUUGGUCAUUUAUUUUUAAAAUGUAUCUUUUUCCAAACCCGAAAAUAAGAGAUUUUAUAGAAACUUGCCUCAACUCUUUGGUAAGAGAAUUUGCCAAUCAUAAAAAUGUAUAUGUACAAAUUUGAAACAUUUGCUUAAAAAAAUUGAUUUUUAUAAAUUCAUGAUGCUAUCGACUUUAUUUACUUACUUUGAAAAACGCAUAAUCCCGAUUAAAAAUUUGUAGCAGAAAAUUUCUUAUAAUUGUUUAACCUUGAAAAUUGAUUGUUUAAGUUAAAUUAUUAGAAAUUGUGCCAAUUUUAGAAUAACUAAUUAAAAUACUCAACAAAUCCCAAAAACAAAAGUUAAAGUCAGAAAAAUAGUCCAAUAGUCCAUAUGUCCAUAAAAUCUAAAUUUUUUUUUUGAAAGAGUUUAACAUAGAAAAAGUGAAUUGAGCUCCCAAGCAUUGCCAAAUCCUAAGUUUGAGGAUUACCUGAAAUAUAUUUAUCAAACAAUGUGAGAUAUAAAGGUUAGUGUGUGCCUUGGCCCACAAGCUAAAAUCACAAACAGAAUCAUACUUAGAUGCAAAUACAAAAGUAGACAUAUAAAAAAAUUCUACAUGCAUAGCAUGACAUAAUCAAACAGAAUAAUCCUACCUCCAUCAGCUACACACUAACUCCGUCCAACUAAUCACACCAAAUAAGGCUACAAGAACUCAUCCAUCCAUCACAUUAUAAUAUGGUUCUAUGUCACUUAGAUAAUAUGUAGCUAUGUUGCCAGAAUAUAUAUUGUGGGUAUAAUGCCAGAAUCAUGUAAUGCAGUAAAUUUGCCAAAAUCACACUUCAUCACAUCCAUAUAUCCCACCCCAAAUGCACAUGCAAAGUCAUACUAAAAGAUCAUGCAUAAGUAUCAUAACAUGCCAUGCCUACUUAUAAAUAGUCAGAUACAUGUUUUUCAUACAUACGAGAUAAUACGACAUAUCAUACAGGAAAUCUUACUCAGAGUUUAACACCUUUAUUGAGUGAAUGCAAAUUAGAUUUAGAAAACUCACACUCGGCCUGCACAAUGCCCAAUAAAUUGCACAAACUGGGCUCACACGCCAUGUGGCCCACACACCCUACCAUACAAUCUAGCACACAACCAAUUAGAUGCCCGUGUGACCCAUACAACUUGUCAUAUGGCCAAACAGACGACCAUGCGGUGAUAUCUACCAGUUUCAAUUUUUCACAAAAUUUCCAUAUUAUUGACCUUUCAUAGUAUCUACAAGUUUAGAACACACUUGAUUACUGUUGGAAUGUAGGCACCAUACCAACAAUAAUUUUUGCACACAACAUUCACAACUAGACCCAAUUCGCAACCAAUAUUGAAACUGAUAGGUGUCGAAUCCACCAAUAUAAACCUACGCCUUAAAUUGCAAAUUAUGCAGUAUAGGGAGUAGGGUUGAUCCCUCAAAGACUGGUUUACUGUAAAUUGUUGCUCUCUUGACCAGAUUUAUGUUGGGGCAAUUGUCGUGCCCAAGAAAUUCGGGGGGAUAAAAUUUUAAGUCCUGAAAAUAAAUAAAUAAAAUGCGUGAAAAGAAAAAGUUGAAAACAUAAUAAUAAAAACAGUGAAAUAAAUAUUAAGAAAAAUUAAUUAGAAUAAGCUCAACUUUAGGCACGAAUUUUCCUCGUCUUUGAACCGAUCCUCGAAAUUGGAUGAACUCCUCUUUUCCAAUAAGCUAGUUAUAGCUACCAAGGACGCCUCGGAUACCAACUCUUCCUUGUGUAAAUUAGUUAAGGAACGUCCAAUAACUAACCCUUACCAAUCGAACAACCAUGAAACGUUCGUGAUUUAGAACUCCGGCAGCUUUGCGUUCUAGAAGAGCCUAGCUCGAACCAAUGCCCUCAACCGCGUGGGACAUUUACAUCCGGUUACUACUUCCCUUGACGGAACCAAAUAGCAAUCUCCACUUGGCACGCCAAUGUGUUCACAGAAAACUAAUUAGAAACGUUCCUUUCGGAAUUCCAACUGUACGUCUAAUCACACUAAAUCAAACGUCUUUUUUGACUUAGUGUUGACCUGACUUUGUGAGCUGACAAAAUCAUACUCUUAAUCCGGAGAAGUAAUAAGUACUGGAAUUUUAGGAGUUAAAUGACUCAGGUUCGUAACUCACGGGUUUUGACGAGGCUAAUUUCGGCCUAAAACUGAAAAUGGGUUUAGUUGGCUAAGGUUUGGGGCAUGUUGGUUUUGGAAUAAUUAAAUAAGAUUGAAUAAAUGAAAAAAAAUGAAAGUGAGUGGUGAAAGUGACGCAAUGUUGGAAAUUAAUUGCUGGCAAAAACAAAGAAAGAAAAGAUUGAAUUGCAAGAAAUAAAAGCUUAAUUUAAAAACGAAAUGAUUAAAAACUUGAUGGAAAAUUUUAUGAAAAGACUUGAUGAAAAACUUAAAAAGAACUUGCUACAAAACUUGAUAGAAAACUUGGUAAUUAAAACCUUGAUAAAAGAACUAAAUGAAAAAUAUUUGAAGAAAGAAAUAACACUUAAUGAAAGACUUAAUUGAAAGCUUGAUUCAUGAAUUGAUGAAUUGAUGAACAAUGUAGCCUCUAUUUAUACUAGUGGCUUUACUAAAUUAAGAGCCAACUAGUAUAGAAAAUCAAGGAAAAUAUUCUAUAAUAUAAAAAAUAUCCCAAAAUAAUCUCCCACUAAGUCAACAAUUUCAGCUAAUUAUUCUUGGAAAAAUUCUGCUUUGGCCCUCCUUCUUUGCUUCUUUCUUCAAUCUAGUCCAAUUGUUUCCUUUUUCUUCUAUUUAGCCCCAAAUUGCAUUCCUGCACAAAAUUCAAUAAAUAUGGCAAAAUUAAUGGUGCAUUCUCAUAAAUUAACCAAAUUAAUUACAUAAAAUAUGUAACUUUAGCAUUUAAUCAGAAACCAAAACUUGAAUUCCAUAUUUAACACUUAAUAAAACCAACCUCAAAACUAACAUUUGGUCACUUACCCAGAAGAGGAUUGAUUCCACUACAAUCAACUAGAAGAAUGAGUAACCAUUGUAGGAUCCACCGCUAAAAUAAACCCCCAAAAAUAAAGAUCAAUAACGAAGAUUAAAGAAUGACUAAAACCCCUAUCUGUCACAUGGAACCAAAUUAAUUCACCUUAUGAAGAUUAAAGAUUAAAGAAUGCACUUACAAGACUUACACGAAAACGAAAAUAUGAAUUCCUCGCUCAAAACACAACACCACAACCAUAAAAUGCCAGAAAAUGAUAACAGAGAAACAAAAAUAGAGGAACAAAGAUUGAGUUUGCAAUUACAAAAACCAAACAAAAGAGAAAGGGAAAAGAAUAGAUGAAAAAUGAUAGAGAAAAUUUGCAGAAACAAAAAUGACCAAAACAGAAAAUGGGGAGAGGGUGGAAAGAGAGGGACGACUGAAUAAAGAGAGAUUUUAGGGAUAUUUUUUAUAAUUAAAAAAAUAAAUCAGAUAAAAAUACUAUCUAAUCUAAUUAGUAACCACCUAUCAGAUUACUCAACAGUUAAAUUUGACAGAAACUCUGACAAGUAUGGGCGGCAGCAACCGAUAUACAGCAAAAAUUAAUUUCUUUUACACACAACAGAGUUUAAACUUGGGAACUAAGGGUAAACUAAAGCCUUAUUAUUGAACCAGCAGACUCAUUAUUACCAGCAAACUAGCAAGACUAAAAUAUAAGCUACAAGUGAUGAGCCAAAUGAAGAAAUAAAAAUAAUACAAAAUUUGUAAGGAAAGGGAUUCGAAUAUAAAGUCUCAGGCACAUAAACAAAACCAUUAACACAAUAAACUAAAUAAAUUUACUUGUCAUAAUUAAGCGAUUUAAAUCUAAAAAAUUUGGUGCGUUACAAUUUCCUUCAAAAAGGAAGAUUCAAGCCUGCAGGCACACAGAAAACAUCAGCAACGCAAGCUUCCUUAAAAAUACAUGAUAAUUUAGUUUUUAGGGCACACCGUCGAAUAAAGAGUCCAAUACUCAACACCCAACGUCAGCUUUCAAAACGGAUACAUUUAUUCAAGCUGCCAUCUUUAUUUAACUCAAUAAUAUUACGCCAAACCGUGGACAUUUUAUGAGUAUGAUGCAAGGAAGGCAGCCAUGAAAGUUUACCCAAUCCAUAUUUCACUACCAAUAGUUUUCUCCAAAGAGAAUUAUGCUCUGUACUAUAUCUCCACCACCAUUCGGUUAGUAGAGAGCAGAAUUUUUAUCUAUGAGUUUCCCAAUGCCUAAAGCACCACAUCUUUUAGAUUUAACAAUCAACGCCCAUUUCUCAUACAAAAAAGGAAAACCAUCUCCCAUUAAUACAAAUGACAUGUCAUCAUUGUUUCAUACAAUCCUUUACCAUUAAUACAAGUGAUUUAAUUUAAUUAAUAAUAAAAAUUAAAUAACCUAAUUUGAUUAAAUUAAAUAUUGAUGAUGGAUAUGAAAAUUAAUGUAAGUUUAAUGAUUUAAAUUGUAAAUAACUCAUUGGAUAAAUUUACAUUGAGAGUCAAAGCAUAAUUAGACUAUUAGAGAUGAUUAAUUGUCUUCAUACAUUUUGUUUGAAACUUCUAGUUAAUCUUACAAAUUUCCAUGCCUUCAAUCCAUUUUUUGACAUUAUCUAAUGAAAUAAUAUUUUGUUUGAAAUUAAGCAUUACUCCAAUAGUAGAUUUGACCACCAUUAACCAGUUCAAACCAUUUUAUAUUACUACUAUGACCUUUGUGGCCAAUGGUUGCUUCAUUGCUGAUGUUUUGAAUAGUUAUGGAAUACCCAAAACAUUUUGUAUGUAUCCUAUUGUUCAUUCCUUUUUCAAUUUAUUCAAAACUUCGUUUUUUUGUAUAAUACAGCGAUAAGAAGCUUUGUUAAUGACAUAUUAUGUUUAGUUUGCUUUGCCUAUAUAUGGAUUGAAUUAAUUUAGGCUGAUCACUCGCUAAACCUUCCAAUUAUGUCCAUAUUAUUAUGCUAAGUAUUGUUAUGAUACUUGCUAUCAUUGGUCCAAAAUCUAAAGGGGCUUGGGUCGGAUUCUAUUGAGCUCACACGUUGAGCUUGCAGACCAAGCUCGUAGGAUAAUGGAUGUUCACAGGAUAGGUACUUACAUUCUCCUGCGAAAUCAUACGUGAGAUCGUGUAUGAGACCACAUAAAUAUGUGUUAAGUCGAGAGUAGGAUACUUGUUGAUAUGUAUGGAACCUACCUAAAAUGUUAUAUCAAUGAACAGUACAAAUAUCAUAUAAAUACACAAACACCGCUAUCUAAGAGAGAUAGAGAAAACACUCAACAGAAUUUAGGUUUUAACUGGCUCUAAUCAUCACGUGCUUCUCUUUGACAGGUCUUUUCAAUUUCUAUUGAAUAAGUUUAGCUUUCACUUGAAGCUUUCCUUCAAUGAAUAUCUGCUUUUCUUCAUCUUUGAGUUUUGUUUUCCUUCAAUACCGAUUACUGAAUUAUGAGUUUUGUUAAUAGAUUUGGAAAGAAAACUCAUUGAGAUCUUUUUUCUUAUAGUUAUAAAUUAGGAAUUUGGUGGCAAAGUAGAGUUGGAAUGGCAAAGAGUAAUAGGGCUGGGCUAUCUACAGACUUGUUGACGAAGAUUUGUCAUGGUUGCAAUCGCCAUUGGUCACAACUCCAAAUAUAUAGUGUAAGCUUAGCUAAAACACAAAUAUAUUGAGCACAUACAUCAAGCGCAAUGAAGUUUCUUACAACAAAAUGCAUCGGAAAUUUGCUAUCAAGAGAAAUUUCUAAUUAAUUGCUUUUAAUUUUCCACAAAAUGUAAUAUGAAUUUCGAUUAUUAAAUUAAAGAAAUGUUAAAAAGUUCAGUCAAACAAAAUGGGUGCCGUGGACCCUUAAUUAUUUCAUCACGCAUAAAACAAUAUUAAAUAAAUUAUAAAAAAUCUAAAAUUAUAAUAACUAAAGUAAAUUAUACAACAUCUACCCAUUAAUAGGCCUAAAAAAUACGAAAGAUUGAUCACUGUAACACUCCGAAUUUCUUAGAUAUGGAAUGUUAAAUUAUAACAAAUAAUUUAAUUCUGUUUAGUGGAUAAGUGUAGUGAUUAAGUGGGUGAGGUUUUGGGUUUGAGUUUUUUCUUUAGAAUUUUGUUAAUUUUUGGUUCUAUUUCUAUCACUAAUUAUUUGAUUUAAAUCUUAUUUCUAGAUAAAUUAUUAUAGAAUAAAUCUAUUGGUUCAAUGGUUAAGUUUUAACGUAUUCUAGAGUUUAAAUCUUGGUGUGGGCAUAUGAAAUGUUUUUGUUGCUUGUUAUUUGUCAAUAGUUGAGUUCUUUUUUAAUCACAUUGGAUUAUUAUAUAAUUUUUUUUAAGUUAUCAAAAUAAAACAUAUCCCUAAAUUUACUCUAAUUUGCACGUCCAAUUACCCUUCCCUUCUCACGUUCGUUUCUUUUUCUUUUUCUUGUAUUUUCUUCUUUUGUUUUUGUAGCCUCUUUUCCAUUAUUCUUUUCUGCCGUACUUGCUUAAUUUCUGCUAUUCCAUUUUACCCCUUGUAUUCGUGCACGGUGAACGUGGAGUAAGUUUCAUUUAAUAAUUUCUGUUCUUUUCCUUUGAAAUUGUUUCUUGAACAAGAUAGGAGUUGUGCUUAUACCUAAUCUUCUUUCUUAGUUUUGAUAAGCGCUCUUGUGUUUUCGAUUAGGCGAAGGGAGUGAGAAUCUUAUUCCUCCAGCAGAAUAGUUCUCGUCUUUGGUGUUGUUUUUGAGCGGUGAGUAUACGAAUCUCGUUUUAGGGACUGAAUUUUGACCAAAGAAUGUCAAUUUGGGUGGGUCUUUGAUGAUUAAUUAGUAUGAUUUGUUAAUUGAUUGUAGGUUUUAAUCAAUUAUCUCAUCAGGUGUGUAAUUAACCCCAAACAUCAUUUAAAACUCGAGAAAAUUAUAAAAUAGGGGAUGUUUUCGAAACUGCCCAGCGUCACACGGCCGUGUGGAGCACAUGCUCUGUGAAAUAACAUGGACAUGUGGUAGGUCAUGUGGACCAAACGGACUAGCUUUUUGGGCUGUGUGGGAGCUUGUUGGGCCAAUUUUGAGGCCCAAUUAGGGCAGUUUAGGGGACUCAAAAAUUGAGUCUAUGGGCAUUAUGUAGGCCCGAAAAAACAUAAGUUUCAAUUUGCAAACAUAGGUUUGUGUAGAAAGCAUGUUAAGUAAGUCUCGAUAAGUGUAUUAAUGUGAUAUGAUAUGCUUUAUAAAUAUGUACAUUAGAUAUGCAAGCUAUAUGAUUUGUGAGUACCACAUGCUGUGUUAUGUUCCGUAUGAAAAUAUGUGUAUAUGCAUGCCAUACGAUUUAUGUUAUAUGUAUGUAUGAUAUUAUGCCUAUGUUUUGGGGUGGGAUUUGAUAUAAUGAAGGAAGUUUUAUAUGGCAGUAUUUACUGCAACUAUGGUGGCUAGAAUGCAAAUUUCUGUCUAGUAGCUCAGCGGCAUAUUAUGAGUGACAUACCUCCACAUAUUGGUGUGAUGGGAUCGAUGGAUGUACUCUUGCAGUUCUAAUUAGUGUGUUUGGUUAGAUAGAGAUGGUGUGUAGCCAAUAGGGGUAGGAUAUGUUUUGUUAUAUGAUAUGCUUUGAUAUAAAAUCUGGUAUGAUAUGAUAUGUAAUAAGCUAUGCAUCUAUUUGAUUUUGACAUAUACUAUGAUUUGUGGGCCAAAUUACACGCUGGGUGUAAAGCUCACAUGUUUGUUUUGUUUUAGGUAAUCCUUAGGCUUAGGAUUGAAUGGCGACUCUAGAGCUUGGUUUUCACGUUUGGGUUUAGUAUGUUAUGGACUUUCAAUUUUAUGGACUUUUUAUUCGGACUUUUGGACAUUUAAUUUUUUUCUAGGACGUUUAGAAUUUAUUUUGGUAGUUGUUUUGUUAAAGCUUUGGUUUUUAAUCGGAGUUAAAAACAAGACGACUAACAACAAACUAAAGGUAAAUAAGACAAAAUUUCUAUAAUGUGUCGCAGCCAAAUAUUGUCAAAAAUUGCUAGAAUGUUUUAUAUCGCAAACGAUUUAAGUAAAAUAGGUUUGUUUUUAGUAAAACUAUUAAACAUGCUUUUUCCUCGAAGCACUCAUGGGUUUUUGAGAAUUGAUACAUUUUCAAAGAGUUAUUCAAAUCGAUUUUCUUUACGUUGAAAGUGGGGUUUCAUCAAAAUUAAGAAUUAAUGUUUUCAUGUACGAUGUAAUCUCCACAUCCCGACAGUAACGUCUAAGUCGAGUUUGGAGUGUUAUACUGAGCUUGCUCGAGUAGAUACCUUGGGAAAUUAAAAUAAAUUUAAGAAAAUUAUAAUUAAAUUAUAAAAAAAUUUGUUGAAAUGUCAUUAAAUAAUUGAAAAGGGAUAAUGGAUGAUAUGGUGGGAAAUGUCUACAAAAUAAUUUCUCCGACAAAACAUAUUCAUACAUUAUCAUAACACAAUUUGAUCCACUCUUCGGUAAAUUAUACCAACAUAAAAUGUCAUUGCACAAGGGAAAACAAGAAUAAAUAAAGAAUAAUAAAUCUAAACUCAGAGUUUAGUUCAAUUGAUCCAUGUAAUCCUUUUUAAAAUGUUACAUUUAAUAGAUUUGAGAACGGAAUCCUAUAUAAUCAAUACAAACACACAAACCUUAAUUAUACAUGUUUUUUUUCCAUCAAACUACAUACCCAUAGUAGCCCAAUACACAUACAGCUUUCGACCUGGUCCAACUUUCGAUAGUAUGCAUGCCUCCAAGACCUGUUGAAAAACAAGGGAGCCACUACACCCCAAAAUCCUAUUACAAAGCCAAGAACUAUGCUACAUAAAGCCAAUUCACUUUACUUCCUUCACUGCUACUUCCAUUAUUUGCAACAUCAGUUGGAAUACCUUUUGUGUUGCAACUUUUAGUGAGAGGAGGUCCGCAAAGAUGAUUGCCCAUGUAAGAAAAGUUUUCAAAGCUUUGAAGCUGAGUGCUUAUUGGAAUUUGUCCUGUCAAGUUGUUGUAAGACACAUUGAAGUGAUUCAAGAAAUUCAAAUUGGAGAUGCUUGGAGGGAUUUCACCAUUCAAUCGAUUCACGGACAAAUCAAGAGAUUCCAUCAGCUCCAUGUUGCCAAUUUCGUUUGGUAUAUUUCCUGCUAGGAGAUUCGUUGAUAGAUUUAAUGACCGUAGCUCAAUGAGACUUCCAAUUUCAUUUGGAAUCUCUCCCGUGAGACUAUUAGUUGAAAGGUCCAUACUGGUAACAAGCCCUAGUGUGGCACUGUAUUCAUCCUCUUGUCCUUUCAGCACUAAUAAUGCACUCAAAUAAAAGAGAGUAGUUCUGGUACUUACCCACUCAUAAAUAUAGUUACUUUGGUUGCUUCUGUUGGCCAUUGCAGUCAAAUUACUAAAACAUUUUGGAAUAGUGCCUGAAAUGUUGUCAUGGGCAAGGACCAAAUUCUGAAGAUAUUGAAGAUCACAAAUUUUAUGAGGAAUAUGGCCAUCAAAAUUAUUUGAUCGAAGGCUUAGAACCUUAAGUCUUGAGUGCUUGUCUCUAAUCCAUUCUGGUACACUUCCAUUGAAAUGAUUUUCACUAAAAUCAAGCAUAAUCAAACUGGAAUUUUGCAAUGUGGAUGGCAAUGCUCCAAACAUGCUAUUAUUCCGAAGGUUUAGCAUUGAAAGAUUUAUAUGCCCUAAAGAAGGUGGGAUUUUACCGGUCAAACUGUUGCUUCCCAAAUUUAAAUGCCCUAAAUUCUGCCAAUGAUUCUAACAAUCUGGAAUUUCUCCUGAGAUGAGAUUUUUAUCAAUGUAAAGAACUUCCAUCCCUCCCCUACUUGGUGAAUUACAAACUAAUUAAAAAAGAGAUCCUGAAAAUGAAUUAUCUGACAAAAUUAAAAAUUUUAAAGUUGGGAAUACUACUCUUGGCAAUUGGCCUGUGAAUCGGUUUGAACUCAAGUAAACAAUGUAUGUCACAUUCAAAUAUGAAAUCCCUCCACUAAGUUGAUUAUAGGAAAGAUUUAAAUAUUUAAAUGGAAUGGGAAGGUUCAAAAACCAAGUGGGCAUGACAUUAGAAAUUCCUGCAUCAGAGAUAUCUAACACAGACAACUUCUUUUGGAACUUUAACCAUUGGGGAAAUUUUUGGCCAAGAUGCCAAUGACCCAAUUCAAUAAUUCCACAUUGAAAUGGGAGAAUCCAGCUUGAGUUCGGUUCAAAUAUUGUGUGAUGCCUUCAAAGUUGUCAAUCUGGUGGGAUUAGAAAAAUGGGUUUCUAAUACAACUCCUUCCAAUAGAUUAUACCCAAAAUCUAGAGUUUCCAAACUUUCAAGUUGUCCAAAACAUAAAGGAAAAAUACCAUUUAAUUGAUUUUCUGAAACAUCAAAGAACUUCAAAGAUGAUAACUCCCCUAUGGACACAAUUGAAUGGGACCAAAAAUUUUGUUUCGAGCAAGGGACAGGUAAGCUAGAUUUUUAAAUUGGCCAAGUUGAUCAGUUAAAUGACCAGAAAGUUCGUUACCUGCCAUAUCCAAUGACUCUAAGGAACCCAAACAACAUCUAGACAAACUCUGUAGGAUUUCUGAUAUUCCAUCUUCAAUUUUUUUAUAUGACAAAUCCAUCUCCUUCAAUUUGCACAGAUAUUCCAGAGAGGUUGAUAAUCUUCCCUUCAACAUAAAAUUUGAACAAAGAUCAAGGUGAGUAAUAGAGCUCAAGUUUCCAAUGGUUCUCGAGAUUGUUCCUUGUAACUGGUUUUCACCACGACUCAGGAACUGAAGACGGUUUAAACUAUACAAGGAAUUGGGUAUGGAUGAAUUGAGAUGAUUCAAAGUAAGAUCAAGAACUUCAAGAAACGAGAUGUUCCCAAAGUAAUAUGGAAUUGGACCUUCCAAAGAAUUCUCACUAAGAUCAAAGGACAUAAGACUAUGAAGACUAAAUAUCGACUUCGGUACUGAAGAAAAGCCGUUCCCAGAAAGAUCAAGAAUAACCAGUGAUUUUGUAGAAUUAACACUAACCGGAGAUGGAUCAUCUUCUAAACAACAAUUUGACAAGCGCAACUUUAACAAAGAAGGAUGUUUGAAUGUUACCUGUAGCCAAUCAUUUGCUUUAGAAAGAUCCGCACCACUCAAAUCAAGGUACUGCAAGGAAGAAAGUCCAGAAACCCAUUGAAAACUUUUUGGUUUGAGAUAAUUACCUCCAAGAUCAAGAUAAUGCAACUUUGAGAGAUUCCCAAGGUUAUGAGGAAUUCCUUUCGGGAAUCCAGCUUGAGAGGUUAAGAUGUGUUCAACUCCCCAGCAUACCAAAAAAUUUCAGGAUAUAUAUGCUGCUAAAAUUGUUAUAGCUCAAGUCCAGGGAACUGAGAUGCUUCAACUCCAGCAGUGAAGGAUUUAUUUUGCCUCCUAGAUUUGACCGCUCGUAAGCUUCCCAUUCAAAACAUGGUGCAAAUUCAUCAGGCUCUGAAAGAGUAGGAGCCAAGUUCAGUUGGUGGACUUGGCCUGUUGAGUUAUGGCAGACGACACCAAUCCAUUCACAGCAAUCCCCACCUUCAACCCAUGAAGAUAGCCUGUUUGAAGGAUCAAUAAGAUGAUUCUUGAAUUUCAAAAGACCUUCUCUCUCACUUUGAAUGCAACGUGCGUUGGAAUUGGCAUCACAAAUGGUAAAACAGAUAGCGGCAUUGAGAAGAAGAAAAGGGAAUAAGGAAAUUGGAAGAGGAGCUGUCAUGGUUGCAAUUGCCAUUGCUCACAACUCCAAAUAUAUUGAGUAAGCUUAGCAAAAACACAAAAUCAUACAUGAAGCGCAAGGAAGUUUCUUCAAACAAAAUGCAUCGGAAAUUUGCCAUCAAGGAAAUCUCUAAUUGAUUGCAUUUAAUUUUCCACAAAAUGUAAUAUGAAUUUCGAUUAUUAAAUUAAAGAAAUGUUAUAAAGUUCAGUUAAACAAAAUGGAUGCCGUGGUCCCUUAAUUAUAUCUUCAUGCAUAAAACAAUAUUAAAUAAAUUAAGAAACUAAAAAAAAAUUAAAGAAAAUUAUAAGAAAAUUUUAUCUAAAAAAAAUUAAAGAAAAUUAUAAGAAAAUUUUAUCUAUUUUUAUUUUUAAAUUUUAAAGAGCUUACUUUUUUUAUAUAUUUUUUUGAAAAUCUUUAAAAUUUUAAAUUUCUAAAUUUUAUAUAUUUUUUUAAUUUUUUAAAAUAUUUUAGAUUUUUUAAAUUUUUAAAAAGUGGCAUAUAAAAUAAAAUAAUGUUAAUGUAAACAAAAAUAUUGUCCACGUACAUUAGGGGCAAGGGAUGUUAUCAAAAUUUUCCACAAAAUGUAAUAUGAAACUCGAUUAUUAAAUUUCAGUCAAACAAAAUGGAUAUGAUGAAGGAAGACAUGGAAUUUGAAUAACAUUAUUUUUCUCUAUGUUUGGGUAUCAUUAAGCCAAAAUUUGAAAACGAUUAUUGAAAAUAAUGAUUUUUUUCUUGCCCUCAAACAUUUACUGAAAAUAAAUCAAUUUAUCUUUUACUCUCCUUUAUUUAACUCUUAAAUAUGUUUUUAAAGACAACCAUAAAACUUAUAUAUAUAUAUAUAUAUAUAUAUAUAUAUUAGCAUAUUUUUCAAAUUUCGUGUUAAGUUUUAUUUGCUUGUAUCAAAUUAUAAAGUAAAAUUUUGAAGGUUAAAAUAUGCUCUAUGUGCUUUAAAUUUGGAUGGUAGUUUUGUACUUUUAUUUUUAAAAAUUUAAUCCAUUUUUAAAUUUAAAAUCUCAAGUCCAAUAAUUAUUGCCAUUAAAUUAUUCUAUUAAAUUUAAUGGUGUGACGUUUAAACUUUAAAAAAAUACAUCCACUUAAUAGUUCUAUAACAAUAAUAUUGAAAAUUCUAAUUAAUAUAUUUUUUUUCUUAAAAGACACUAGUUUGAACUCAACUAAGUCUAUGGAAUAAAUCCCACUCCUGCUGUUUACUUGCUAUUUAAAAGAAAUUGAUACAUCAAAAUAGCUUUCAAAGCAUUUUCAUUUAGGAAAAUUCGACGUUAAACUUGAUAACGCCACAAGGAGGAGUUAUCAAAUCUAGCAGUUAACCAAAUUUAUGGACAUUUAAUCGAUCAACUUGGCAAUUUAAAAAUCUAGCUUACUUGGCCCUUGCUCAAAACAAAGUUUAUGGUCCCAUUCCGUUGUCGAUAGGGGAGUUAUCAUCUUUGAAGUUCUUUGUUGUUUCAGAAAAUCAAUUGAAUUGUACUUUUCCUCUAUGAUUGGGACAACUGGCAAACUUAGAAACUCUAAAAUUUGGGCAUAAUCUAUUGGAAGGAGUUGUAUUAGAAACCCACUUUUUUAAUUUCACGAGAUUGAUAACUUUGAAAGCAUCAAAGAACAUGUUGAGAUUUGAACCAAACUCAAGUUGGAUUCCCCCAUUUCAAUGUGGAAGUGUUGAAUUGGGUGAUUGGUAUCUUGGCCUAAAGUUUCCCCAAUGGUUAAAGUUGUAUCAUUUAGAUAUCUCCUAUGCAGGAAUUUCAGAUGUCAAGCCCACUUGGUUUUUGAACCUUUCCACUCAAUUUGAAUAUGCAAAUCUUUCCUCUAAUCAACUUAGAGGAGAGAUUUCAUAUUUGAUGUGAAAAUAUUGUUGACUUGAGUUCAAACCAAUUCACAGGUCUACUGCCGAGAGUAUUCCCGACAUUAGAUUUUUUAGUUUUGUCAAAUAACUCAUUUUCAGGAUCCCUUUCUGAUUUAGUUUGUAACUCAUCGGGAGAGGGAUGGAUGAGAUCUCUUUACAUUGAUGCAAAUCUUCUUUCUGGGGAAAUUCCAGAUUGUUGGAAUCAUCGGUUUUUGAAUUAUUUAGAUUUGGCGAACAACAAUUUGACUGGAAAAAUCCCACCUUUGUUACAUAAAGAUCUUAGACUGCUCAACCAUCGAAAAAAUAGCAUGUUUGGAGAAUUACCCUCCACAUUGUGAAAUUCUACGAGUUUGUUUAUUCUUGAUCUUAAUGAAAAUUAUUUCAGUGAAAGUGUACCAGUAUGGAUUGGUGAUAAGCUCUCAAAACUUAUGGGUCUAUGCCUUCGAUCUAAUAACUUCAAUGGCCAUAUUCCUCAUAACAUUUGUGAUCUUCUAUCUUUCAAAACUUGGACCUUGCCCAUAACAACAUUUCAGGGGUUAUUCCACCAUGUUUCAGAAAUUUAACUGCAAUGGCCACAAAAACCAAAAUCAAUAGUGAACUUAUUUCGUGGCCAAUCCUUGGCCAUUCAUUAAUUUUAGAGCAUUAUUGGUGAUGAAAGGGCGAGAAGAUGAAUAUGAGACCACACAAGGACUUGUUACUAGCAUGACCUUUCUGCUAACAGUCUCACAGGAGAGAUCUCCAAAGAAAUUGCAAGUCUCAUUGGGCUGUGAUCAUUAAAUUUGUCAGGGAGGCGACAUGGAGUUAAUAGAAUCUCUUGAUUUUCUGAUGAAUCAAUUGAAUGGUGAAAUCCCUCGAAGUUUUUGAAUUUCUUGAAUCACUUCAAUGUCUCCUACAACAACUUGAUAGAAUAAAUCUCAACAAGCACUCAACUUCAAAGCUUUGAAAACUUGUCUUAGGUGGGCAAUGAUAUUUGUGGACCUCUUCUCACUAAGAACUGCACCACAAAAGGUUUUUCAACUGAUGUUACAAAUAAUGGAGAUAGCAAUAAAAGAAGUAAAGUGAAUUGGCUUUAUGUCAGCAUAAUUCUUGGCUUUGUAAUGGGAUUUUGGGGUGUGGUGGCUCCCUUGUUUUUAAUCAGAACUUGGAGGUAUGCAUAUUAUCAAAAGUUGGAUCAUGUUGGUCGGAAGUUGUGUCUUGAGCUACUAUGGGUACGUAAUUUGAUGAAAAAAAAACAUGUAUAAUUAAGAUUUGUGUUUUAUAAUUGAUUAUAUAAUCUUCAGAUCUCAGAUCUAGGAACUAAUAAUUUUGAGUUUAGAUUUUAGUACUCAGUACAUGAUUGGUGUUUUUCCUUUUGCAAUAAUUAAUGUCAUUUCAAGCUUGUAUAAUUUAAUGAAAGUGUGUUUUGACAAUGAAUGAUUAGGUUAAAGAGUGCAAUAGGGUAAAUUUUUACUAACUUUUGUCCAGCUGAUUAACUUCAACAAUAUACAAAUCCAUCAUAUCUUGUUAACUUUAUCUGUUUCUAGAAACUUUUGUGAGGAAUUCAAAAAAUCAUGCUCGCCUCUCAUUUAGUAAAUUUCUUCUCUCUUUUUUUCCCUAGGGUGUCAAAAACCUUUUUUUAAACGAUUUAUAUUUCGAAAACGAAAAUGGGAGUCACCACCAAUCUCUUUUAUGAGGUGUGAUUGGAUCACCUCGUAAUUUGAUUGUUUUAAUAAAAAGGCUUGAUCCACUAAAACAAUGAUUUUUGGUCUACAAAAUUCAGGAAAUGGGUUUGGGAGUCGGUUAUGCACGAGGAAGGAUUAGCACCCUCAUUACGCCCAAAAUUGGUACCUAAUUGAUUACUUGAUGUCUUAAUGUCGAAAAUUGAAAAUUUUAAGAGAAUUUAAAAUGUGAUCCCUUCGUAUUAAGAUAUUUUAAUAGAAAGGGUUUUAUUCUGAAUUAAUCGAGAAGAAGGAUCAUGUCCCGUCAAUUAGGACAUGACACCUUUAGUUUUCGAAAAUCAAAAUACUCGCUGUGUAAAUCGUUACUUAAAUGGAUAUUCGACUAUUUCAGUUUUAGAAAGAAGCCAUACUCCAUAAGUUUGGAGCACGACUUUUCUAAUUUCAAAAACAAUGAACAUUGCCACGAUUUGAAAAUUUUACCUUUUUUGUGCAACGUGCAAAAAAAACAAACGUAAUACUUAAAACGAUAUGCAUUUUACUUAUUCGGGCAUAAUAUACACGUGGAUAAAUGCUUAAAUUUAACGUAUGAUAUGGUGAUAGCGAAAUAAUAUAAGAUUGCCUAUGUGGGUAGAUAACAAAACAAAUAAAGUAACUUAUUUGAAAAUAAAAAAUAAAAAAUAAAAUGAAAGGGAAGUAUAAGUAAUAUCAAAUUUAAAUAUUUAAAAUAUAAAAGAAUAAUAAAUAAAUAGGAAAAAAUUAGAAAUAUAAUAUUAAAUAAAUAGGCAAAACAAAUAAUGUUAAAUUUAAGUAUUUAAAAAGUAAAAGAAUAAAUAAAUAAAUAAAUAAAUAAGUAAUAUUAAAUUUAAGUAUAUGAGAAAUAUACUUAAAAAUAAAAAAUAAUAAUGACAAUAUACAUAAAUGAAAAGAAUAUAAACAAUAUUUUUUUAAAUAUAUGAGAAAGAAUAAAGAAAGAAUAAAUAAAUAAGUAGAUAAAUAUAAAAGAAAACAAUUUAAUAAAGAUUAAAAAUAAAGGACUAAAUCGAAAUUUAAAUGAAAUUAAGGGCAUAAAUUAGAAAAAGAAAAAGAAAUAUAUAAAUAAAUAGGCUAAUAAGGACUCAAAUGGAACACGCUAAAAGAGACAGGGACCGAGUGGGAAAAUAUCCCAAACUUUCCUAUGCGCAUCAUUUAAAAGGACCAAAAUAAAAAAAUUUAAAAUUUAAGGGGAUAAAUUAAAAAGAAAAAAAGAAAUAGGACUAUAUUGAAAAAUUCUUAAAAAGUAGAAGGACAAAAAGCGCAAAUAUCCCCCUUUUUAAAAAAAGCCAGAUCUUGAGGCCGGUCGGGUCGAUAAUUGUGUCGAUCUUCAAAACGACGUCGUUUUGGCGUCUGUGACUUAAGCCCAAAAUUACGUCGUUUUGAAGGGCUAUAUAAGUGAAAAAAUUAAUUAAAAAAUCACUUUUGUCUGUUAAAAAAAACUUUUCAGCCUUUUUUUUCUCUCAGUCUUCCCCACUCCGGCCACGGCACUUGCGAGCUUCUGCCGACGGCCAUUGGUCGCUAAUGACUGCUCUGCCAUUCCCAGUGGCCGAAAAACCUAAAAUGCCCCUUUUGCUUAUAUUUUUUGUAGAACUCCGAUUUGGAGUUAAAACUACCAAAAUCAAAGCCAAAGUUCCAGAAAAAUGAGAAGACUCCUCGGCUCCAGUGGCAGAAAACAACCACCAAGUGAGAUUUUUUUUCUUUUCUUUAUAUUUUAUCUUUUUAUAUAUAUAAAAAUACAUUCAAAGAAAAAAGGAAAAGAAAAAAGAUCACCUUUGAAUUUUUUUCGAUUGCUUUGUUUUUUUUUUAUUUCUAUUUUUUUGAUGAAAAAAAACCACAUACAAUCGAUUUUUGUAAGCUUUUUAUAGCCAAAUUACAACAUUAUUUUUCUAUUUUUUUCUACUGUUUGCUACUGUUCUUGCAUGUUUUUUGCAAGGGUAGUUGACGAAGCAAUUGGUGGCAGGUGCUAGGAGCGGCGGGCAAAGGCUAGGGUGCGCUAGGGUUUUUGUUGUUUUUUUUUUCUUGAAAAUUGUUUAGUUUGUUGGGCCAUUGGGCCUUUAAUUAGACUUCAAACUUUUCAUUAUUGACGUGACAUUAAUUUAUAUUUAUGUCACAUUUACAAAUAAUUUUAAAACUAUAAAAAAAUAUUCAAUAAAUUAUAAACUUGACAAGGAAGUUGGACAAAGUCUAUGGAGUAACUUCAAGUCCCAUGAUAUGACCUGCCAAUUAAGAUUUUUUAGGUCUUUAAAAUGAAAAGAAAGGAAAAUGAAAAUUUUAGAAAACAUAUAAUUUGAUUAAGAUUUUUAUUUUUACAUUUAUAUUUUGGUUAAAUCAAAUCAAAUUUUAAUUUAUAAUUGACUAAAAUUAUGCAAAUUGUUCAACAAGCUCAUGCCCGAAGUCAGUGAGGAUCUAAAUAAACGUAUCAAGGAACUACCUAUAUUAGCACAUUUAGUGAUGUGAUCUGCAACACCAAGAGUUUUUGGGAUAUGUCGGAUACGAAUCUCCCAUUUCCAACGCAAUACUUGAUGUAACAGCCACAGUUCCACUAAAUUACUACUAGCUCCUUCACCAGACAAAAACAAUUCAACCAACAAAGCAUUAUCACACUCAACUUCAACUUUCCGAAAUCCUUUAUCCCAAGCUAAGAAUAAUACUUCCAACAUUGCUCUUGUUUCAACUUUAAAGACUGACUCAUAUUUAAUUUUUUUUAAAUGUUUAUAUUGUGAAUUGUGGGUAAUAUUUUUAUAUUUGUGUGCUCAUAUUACAUUUCAUUUUCAUAAGAUUAUGAAGGAUAUUGAAGUUUUAGUUACAUUCUAAUACGAAUUUCAAUCAUCCAAUUGAAUUUGCUACUUUCUUUCUCUACCUAACGUGGAAUUUAGCAAGCUUUAAAAUUCCUCAAGUAGCGUUGAUGAAGUCAAGUCAACAAAGUCUAUGGAGUAAGUCUCACUCCCUCGGCAUGCUCUGUUUACUCGCUGAUAUUUUCUUCAUUAUAUACAGUAAGCAAAGAAGAAAAACCAUCACUAAUAUCUUUUCAAUUUAAUAGCUUUCAUACCAUUUUCAUUAAUAAAUAUUAUCUUUUACUCCGUUGAUUGUGCUUCACUGAAUUUUUCAAUAAAUAUGAUUGAUGGGGUUUUUUAAAGGUAAAUUUCAGAUAUAGGAAGGAAAAGGAAAAAGAAAAAGAAUGGCAAUGUUGGGCAUGAACAAAGGAAAGAAGAUGGAGAGAUCAAAUUCAUCACAAAGCUACAAACAACUCUAAAAAUAAAAUAUUAUUAAAUAUGUUAUUGAGGUUUAUUAUUAAGUAAAAAAAGCAAUGAUUAAAGUUAGGGGUGAAGCCAAAACAACUUUUCAGAGGGGCCGAAUGAAAUUUUAAUUUUUUAUAGUCUAUAUCUUUAUAACUUUUAAAAGAGUAAAUCGAAUUUUUAUAAUUUUAGGGGGUCAAAAUGUAAUUUUACAUUUAUUAAUUUAAAAUUUUAAAAAAAUUAAGGACUUAAAUAGUAAUUUUAUAUUUUAAGGGGGCCGUGCCCUUGCCAGCUGCCUAGAUUCGCCGCUGAUUAAAAUUCUUGUCAGAUGUUUAUUUGGUACGGAUUCAAACCAUAUUUUCCUUAUCCCUUACCUUUAAUAUUAUAAUAAAAAAAAACCUAUUGCAGCGUCAAAUUUUCUUCCAUGUCUUAAUGAAUUAGUUAAUCAAAUUUUACUCAUAUUCGUUUAGAUUUUGCUAAUCAAAAUUAAUUAUUGUUUUAAAUGGUUAAAUAUAAACACAUUAUAAUUGUCGGAACUAUAAAAAUGCUAACAGGUUACGAUAUAUUUUAUUUUUUUAUGUUUAUUAAAUGCACCUUAUUGUACUCUUUAACCCAACAACAUUUUCAUUAUUGACAUACAAUUAAACACAAUCACACAUCAUGAAAGCUCUAAGUUCAAAAAAUUGAACAAGCUUGAAAUGCUAUUCAGUUUUGCAAAAGGGUCUAAACUCGAAGUCAAGAUCGAUUGAUUCAUGUAAUCCCUUUUAAAAUAUAGCAUUUAAUAGAUUUGAGAUCGAAAUCCUAUAUAAUCAAUUACAUACACAAACUUUAUUUAUACAUAUUUUGUUUUUCAUCAAACUAUAUACCCAUAGUAGCCCAAAACACAUAUAGUUUACCAUAGACAUUGUCCAGCUUUCGAUAGUAUGCAUGCCUCCAAGACCUGAUGAAAAACAAGGGAGCCACUACACCCCAAAAUCCCAUUACAAAGCCAAGAACUAUGCUGACAUAAAGCCAAUUCACUUUACUUCCUUCACUGUUACUUCCAUUAUUUGCUACAUCAGUUGAAAAACCUUUUGAGGAGCAAUUUUUAGUGAGAGGAGGUCCGCAAAGAUGAUUGCCCACGUAAGACAAGCUUUCAAAGCUUUGAAGCUGAGUGCUUGUUGGGAUUUGCCCUAUCAAGUUGUUGUAAGACACAUUGAAGUGAUUCAAGAAAUUCAAUUUGGAAAAACUUGGAGGGAUUUCACCAUUCAAUUGAUUCCUCGACAAAUCAAGAGAUUCCAUCAACUUCAUGUUGCCAAUUUCGUCCGGUAUAUUUCCUAUUAGGAGAUUCCCUGAUAGAUUUAAUGACCGUAGCUCAACGAGACUUCCAAGUUCUUUUGGGAUCUCUCCAAUUAGUCUAUUAGUUGAAAGGCACAUGCUCGUAACAAGCCCUAGUGUGGCACCGUAUUCGUCCUCUCGUCCUUUCAGCACCAAUAAUGCACUCAAAUAAAGGAAAUUAGUACUGAUACUCGACCACUGAAACAUAUAGCAGUGCUGGUUGCUUUUGUUAGCCAUUGCACUAAAAUUACUAAAACAUUUUGGAAUAGCUCCUGAAAUGUUGUUAUGGCCAAGGUCCAAGAUCCGAAGAGAUUGAAGUUGACAAAUUUUUUGAGGAAGGUGGCCAUCAAAGUUAUUCGAUCGAAGGCUUAGAAUCUCAAGUUUUGAGAGCUUGUCCCCAAUCCAUGUUGGUACACUUCCACUGAAAUGAUUGUCACUAAGAUCAAGCAUAAUCAACCUCGUAGAAUGUUGCAACGUAGAUGGUAAUUCUCCAGACAUGCCAUUGCUACGAAGGUUUAGCACUAAAAGAUUUAAAUGUCCCAAAGAAGGUGGGAUUUUUCCGGUCAAUUUGUUGUUUUCCAAAUUCAAGUAACCCAAACCUCGCCAAUGAUCCCAGCAAUCUGGGAUUUCUCCGGAGAGAAGAUUUGUUUCAAUGGCAAGAAUUCUCAUUGGUCCCUUUCUUAAUGAAUAACAAACUAAUUCAACAAGCCGGCCUGAAAAUGAAUUAUUUGACAAAAUUAAAAUUUGUAAAGUUGUGAAUACUCUUGGUAAUGGGCCUGUGAAUCGGUUUGAACUCAAGUCAACAAUUUCUGUCACGUUCAAAUAUGAAAUCCCUCCAGUAAGUUGAUUACAGGAAAGAUUUACAUAUUCAAAUUGAGUGGACAAGUUCAAAAGCCAAGUGGGCAAGAUAUCCGAAAUUCCUGCAUCCGAGAUAUCUAAAACAGAUAAAUUCUUUUGGAAUUUUAACCAUCGAGGAAACUUCGGGCCAAGAUGCCAUUGCCCCAAUCUGAUAAUUCGGCAUUGAAACGGGGGAAUCCAGCUUGAGUUUGGUUCAAAUCUCAGCCUGUUCUGUGAUGCCGCUAGAGUUGUCAAUCUCCUGAGAUUAGAAAAAUGGGUUUCCGACACAACUCCUUCCAAUUGGUUACACCCCAAAUCCAGAGUUUCCAAACUUUUCAGUUGGCCAAAACAUAGAGGAAAAGUACCAUUUAAUUGAUUUUCUGAAACAUUAAACAACUUCAAAGAUGAUAACUCCCCUAUGGACAAUGGAAUGGGACCAGAAAUAUUGUUUCCAGCAAGCGACAAGUGAGCUAGGUUUUUAAAAUGCCCAAG